GACGAACGCUGGCGGCGUGCUUAACACAUGCAAGUCGAACGGAAAGGCCCUGCUUUUGUGGGGUGCUCGAGUGGCGAACGGGUGAGUAACACGUGAGUAACCUGCCCUUGACUUUGGGAUAACUUCAGGAAACUGGGGCUAAUACCGGAUAGGAGCUCCUGCUGCAUGGUGGGGGUUGGAAAGUUUCGGCGGUUGGGGAUGGACUCGCGGCUUAUCAGCUUGUUGGUGGGGUAGUGGCUUACCAAGGGUUUGACGGGUAGCCGGCCUGAGAGGGUGACCGGCCACAAUGGGACUGAGAUACGGCCCAGACUCCUACGGGAGGCAGCGGUGGAGAGUAUUGCACAGUGGGCGGGAGCCUGAUGCGGCAACGCCGCGUGCGGGAUGACGGCCUUCGGGUUGUAAACCGCUUUCGCCUGUGACGAGGCGUGAGUGACGGUAAUGGGUAAAGAAGCACCGGCUAACUACGUG
rnacentral:rRNA from 1 species